rnacentral:misc_RNA from 1 species
AAUUGAUUGAAAAAAAAAUUAACUUCUCUGUAGCAAUUUUAGAGAUUUGAUAAUUCUCAUGUUUGGAUCCUCAUAAGAUGAUUCUUUCACGUAUUAAUCGCUGUCGCUCGACGAUCAAUAAAGCAUUGAUUUCUGGUGUGAGGUAUGCGAUUUUGGACGAAGUAGCAUCAAGUAAUGCGUGCAUUACACGCGCUAAUGGUGGACUAGGUUUUGUGAGAA